GGUCGGGUCCUGUGCAACGCCAGCCCGUGAACCGAGUCAGGGCCGGGAGGCAGCAGCUCUCAGCGGAUCCUGGGGUGUGCCGCAGACUUGCCUGGCCAUC
rnacentral:SRP_RNA from 1 species